UGGGGCUCGGUCCCAUAAACCCCGAGAUCAUGGCCUCGGCUGAAAUCAAGAGUCUGAUGCUUAACUAACUGAGGCAAUCCAGGUGUUCCUUAAUACUCUUUAUUUUCUUAAAAUUAUACUACCAAAUAUGUUUUCCAAUAAAUCAUAAUCAAUGCCAAUAGGAUGUUUAUGAAAUAUUUUUAAUUAUGGAAAUUAAGUUUUUAAAAAAUAAGAGCAUGGGGAAACAUCGUGUGAAACAAAAAGCUCUGAAUAUACAUGAAUAAAAUUUGAAAAGAAACCACAGAUAGAUGUAUCUGGUAGUCACUCAUCUAAAGUUUCGAUGAAACUGUAAAUGUUGCUUAUUUCUCAAUUUCAACACAUUGUGAUAGCUGAUGAUUCAACUGAUUAAUAACUGAUCCCAGGGAGAGGCCUUCAAGCCACAAACUUCUCCAUUCCAUUCACUUCUGAGUAUAUAUAAUAGCUGUGAUAUUCCUGGGCCAGACACUGCCUGUUUCUUACAAGAUAUCCAAGAGAAGGAACUGGUUGCAAAGUCUGAGAGGAUGUUUCUGAGUAAGAUGAAAGUUCUCCUUCUGAUCACAGUCAUCUUGGCAGUAACUGCUGGUAUCCCGGUAAGUAUCCAUUUCUAUAUUCCAGAGUAUUUAUGAUUUUUUUUUCUAAUUCA
rnacentral:lncRNA from 1 species